rnacentral:lncRNA from 1 species
AGAGCCAAGACCGACUGAGAGGAACAUCUUUUACUAUCAGUUCUGCCUGUGUUUUGAAAGUCUCAGAAAGUGAAAGUAAGAGAGAACAUGCAACCCUAUACCACUCUCCCUCUCCUGGCUGUGCUCAUCACUGUGGUAAAUGGAGGUGAAAUCCAGGUGGAGCUGAGGACUGAAAAGUCUGUGUCGAAUGACUGUCACGAAAACGCUACUCUUCAUUGUAUCAUCAUAUCAAAAGGCAGCGAUUUCAUGGUUUUUGGGCUAUACUGGGAGAAUAAGACUGGAGAACAACUCUGCAACUAUAAAACAUCCGAAGGAGUACACUCUGAUCCUCGCAUCCAGUGCCAUUAUACGCCUGGAAAACUGUCCCUCACCAUCUCCAAUCUAUCUGAAGCUGAUCGGGGACAGUACAGCUGCAAAUUGUUUACAAACUUCAAUCAUACAAAGGCUGACACCACCCUGCAUGUCUCAGGUGAGUAUUUAAAGUUCAUGCAGUGACUCGGGAAGAGGGGCAUGCGGUUGAGGUUUGGGAGGAUUAAUAAGGAACCUGUGGGAUGUGGUUGGUGUAGCUUUGUGGGUAACAACUUUGCCUUCUUAUGGUGAAUUCUGAGGUGAUCCUGUGCUACAAAAUGUUAGCAGCUACAGUCGUGUGAGUUUUUUUACCCUCUACCGACCUCAUCAUUCGCAAUAAAAUUCACUCUUAACAAGAGCA